GGCAACAAGUUCCAUUAUUGUUGUCGAUCUAUAGACAGGAAAUAGACAGCAUGAUAGAUUAUUGCAAAUGUUGAGUGAUCAAGUUAGAUGAUGUAUUCAAUUGAAAGAAGUUCAAAUUGUUAAUUAUUUCAAACACUAGCACAUCAGAAAUGCUAAUUGCUGUAGCUUCAAGCAUCCACCUUCGCAGCUGCAGAUGCAUAACUGACACUGCUGUCCCUCAUUGUUUUGCAUUGGCUUGAUUGCUCGUAUCGGACAAAUUUAAUCUUUAUCUUUAUUGAGCAAUUCCUUAACAUCUGAAAGCAUUUCAGCAAAAUUGAGGUGAAAGUCAGAAACCCAAUUUAAUACAGUUGUCUAAAUAUCAUCAUGGCAACCAUCAAUAAGGACUAUCCACACAAAUUAGAGGUACAAUAGAGCUAGAGAACAUGAAGGUAAAUAUGCUAGGCACCACAAAAAUAAUGAUUUGGCCAUUCCAGAAUCCCAUGCUGCCUUUGAUGACUAUUUGAAACUCCCCCCAUUGUCUGAGUUUGGAGGGGAGAACAUUGUCUCGGGAUUUGCAAACAAAAGAGAGCCAGCCAAGCAUGUGAUCUCCACCAUAAAGGUCACACGUAAUAAACUUGAGGUAUCCUAAAGUUAUAAAUAUAAAAUGUGAUUGCAAGGCCUCACAUUCAUAUCCUUUCAAAAAUGGUCACAAAGAAAUCAAAAAGAAGAAAAUAUUUGGAGGAUGACACAAAUUUCUUAUUUGUGCAAUACAUGGAAAUAGAAAAAAAAAAAAAAGUUUUGGCAAUGAGCUUUAUGGAUUUUUAUUUAUUUGUGUGGGCGUGGUGUUGAAUAAACAUGAUUCAUUUUUUGGUAGCCUGCUGAGAAGCUUGAGGAACUUACAUGUAGGAAAACACUAAUUGGAUGGCGGCCACAAAUAGUAUUGUCAUACUCCUGCAAAUACUGUUUAAAUGCAUCAGGAUCCCCUGUUUCUAUUAUAUCCAUACCCAUCUUGUCCAAUGCCUCAAUAGAUUUGUGUAUAGCCCCAUGUUUCUUGUCAUAGUGCAUAUAAUUGAACCGAGACCCCCAGUGACAAAAAUCUGAGGAGACGGAAAAGAAAUUGGACGGAUCAUCUACAUAUUUUGCUAACAAUUGUCCAUCCAUAGCUUCAUUAUCAGCAUUAAGAGCCCCAACCAAUAUGGGCACAACUUUUACCUGAUGCCCUUCAAAAACUUUUACAAGAUAUAGCAAGUGCAUUUCCAUGCUGUGUUCAGCUUCAUCAACACGAAGAUCCAUCAAUUCAAAUUUUCCUGUUGCAUUAAGUUCCUCAAUGACUGAAAGAUAGAAAAUGGAAAAUUGAUCAACUAUGCAAAUGAGCAUAAAAAUACUAUCCACAAAUUAUUAGAAUACUUGCACUUUAAACAACUAAACCAUUUCAGAAAUCAUUUAACAUUAGCGCAUCAACCCAGUUCAUAUUAAAUCUAACCACUUCAAGGAACUUAUAAAUUCCAUUUCACCAUUCAGGCAUUCAUAUCUUUCCACCUAUGAUAAACAAAUGGAUAUACAUAUAGAUAAGCAAACAUGUUUUUGCACAUGUAUACUCAUGUCCCUAUUUAUGUGAUCACUGGAGCCAUGCAUGUUAACCAUAAGCACACCACAUUCAUCACUCAUAAAAAUGCCCUAGCCAUGUUCUCCAAAAGGAAAUAAAUUAAAAGAUCAAAUAAGAAAAAUAAUAAAACUAAUACAAGAUAAACCAAAAAUUGAAGGGAUAAAACACCAGCUGCUUGGCAUCCUUCAUUGAAUUUCACUCUCAUGCCUAGAUGUGUUACCUUCCAAAUCAAUAGGUAAGUCUCCUAUUGGAGUCUUGUAUACUGUCGCUGUUGAAAAAGCACAUUUUCGAGUAUAAUAAUGGUGUGAUGGACCAAGCAAGAAUACCCGAGAACUGAAAUGUAAACUUAUUAAAUAUCAGCAACGCUUGUGGCAGCUGAUAACUAAAUUUC
rnacentral:misc_RNA from 1 species